UUUUUUUUUUUUUUUUUCCUUUUCCAAUGCAUGUUAUACCAUAGGGUUUUUUUUCCCUGCAAGCCUACAAUUUCUCUCUCUCUCUCUCUCUCUCUUCAAUUAUAGGCAUGCACAACCACAAAACCAUUUUUUUUUUCACAUCUAAGAUCUAAGAUUUAUUUUUCUUCUAUUUAUUUUUAAUUUCAUUAUUUAGAAAACUACUCAUUUGAAUAUUCAGAAUUUCCCUAUCCAUCAAUAAAUCAAUUUAUGAUAAUAAAUUUCCAAUCUUUUUAAUCUAAAAUAAAUAAAUAAAUAACCUUAAUCUAGAUUGAAAUAUUCUAAAGAAUUUUUAAAACCUUCAAAACUAAUUAACGAAUCUAAAAUACUAAUCUAAGGAUUAGAAUCUUAUUUAGAAAUAUGAUCUUUAAUCCUAAAAUCUUCAUUCAUACAUUGCCCUAAGUUCUCUAAUCUCUUUAACAUAGAGAAGACAAAAAAAAUCUAGGGCUUUUAAAAGCAAAAAGACCUUUGUACCCUUAAUAAAUUUAUUCAAUUUUUUUUAAUUUACUAUUUUACCCCACAAAAUUAAUUUUAGGUGUUACAGUUGAGCUUUUAUAGGAAGCAAGAACCUUUUGGAACCCCUAAAGACAUUUACACAUCUCUAUUAGAGGAAAUAAACAAGGACCGAUUAUUAAAUCAGAAAAGUUACCGAUUCACGGUUCACUAGUCCGACUAGUGGUCGAAUCGAUGAUAUCAUAAAUAUAUAAUUUAUAUUUUAUUAAAAUUUAAAAAUAAUUUUAAGAAAUUAAUAUAAUAUUAAAAUGAUAGCAUUUAAGUUUUUUGUAUUUGACAUGCCUAUUAAAUGAUAAAUAUAAAUAUAAAUGUAUUAAUAUAUCAAAUUUUAUUAAAUAAAAUAUGUAUAAUAUUUACAUGUGAGAAGAAAAUUAUAACAUUUAAUUUUAUCUACAUAUCUAUGCAUUUUAUUAUUUUUAAUUUUUAAAAAUAUUAUAUUAAUUAAUUUAUAUUAUUUUGAUAUUUAUUGUUAAUAAUUAUUAUAAAAAUAAACAUGAAUAUAAAUAUUUAUAUUUGUUUAAAUGUUUUAUAUUAUAAAAUUUGCAAAGAGCAUUAAUAUAAAAUAUUGUUACCUAUAUCUAUCAAAGGAAUUAUGCAAUAUAAUGGUUGGCUCUUUCUUUUCUAAACUUUAGAUCCGAUAUUCAAAUCCCACAUCCCACAUAAAAAACUCACAAAUUUAAUGAGUUCUAUAAAUAACCUGCACCUAAAGGAAUGGGGUAAGCUGCUCAAUGGGUUGUCAGUGGGUGGGAAGAUUGUAGGCCCAAUGCGAGAACGAUUCAAUCAUUGGUCCAUCCAGUUCAAUGUCGGUCCAAAGCCCCUCGGAUCAUGGUCCAGUUGAUGGUUCAAUCGGUUGAAUUGGCUGAUCCAGUCUAGUUUUUAAAUCAUUGGAAAUAAACUUUUAUAAAGAGCAAAAGCUUAUAGAAUGCUUGAACACAUCUACACAUCUACACAUAUCUAUUAGUGGAGAAGUGUAGAAGAUUCAAGAAAAACUUGGAGACAUCUGCAAAUGAAAGAUGGUGGAGAAGUAUGAAACAUUAUGGACCGUAAUUUUACAGAAGUUUCGAGAUAUCCACACAUCUCCACACAUGAUUAAUUUAAAAAGGGAUUGUUUGUUAUAGCUCAUAAUUAUAGGUGUUUACAAAUAUCUAAAUAACACACUUUUUUCUUAUUCUAUAAAUCCUAUAUAAAUUAAAGUUCUAAAUGAUUUUAAAUUAUUAGAUUAAUAAAUAUAAUUACUCUCGUGUACUUCCAUUUUUCAUUUCUUAUUUUUUUUAGGAAAGAUGUGUUAACCUUCUUGCUUACCAUACAACAAAAAUAAAUCACAAAAAAUUAAAUUUAAAUACAAGCAAAGUAUAUAUUUUUGCAAAAAAAUAAAAAAUAAAAAAUAAUUUAAUAAGAAAACUAAUAGCUCUAAUCCAAUGCUACCUCUUAUUCUUGAGAAAAAAAGUAUAGGAAAGAAGGAAAAACUUUGAAUCUAAGGUCAAGUUUAAUUGAAUCAAUAAAGAUUAUAAUUUUUCCAUUUUUUUAAUUACAAUUUCCCCAUAAUCAGACAAGAUCCAAAUGAAUGAACCUAAAAAAUAUCAGAUCUAGAAUAAUCAUGAAGAAUCGACGUCAAACAUGAAGAAUCAACAUUAAAAAUUAAUUCUCUAAAACAAAGAAUCUAUGCAAUGAUAAAAUAAAAAUUUUAAAACUAAAAAAGAACAAAAAAAAAAAAAAAAAGAAAUGUCCACUCAACCUAUUCAUUAUCAAACAAUUAUAAUAAGAAAAUCUACAUACCUUUGAGGGCAUAAAAUAUUUAUGCCACCUUCAACGAGAAUUUUUCAUCAUUUUUCAUUGACCACAUGUCCUCCAUUUUACAAAUAUUAUAAAAAAAUAAGAAUGAUAAAUAAUAGGAAAAGUAGAAGCAUAUUAGAAUUUAAUGGAAUGAACGUAUUUAAGAGAUGGUAUAAUGAAAUGAAAAGAUUGACUUUACAAUUUCAUUUGCUAAUCUUUGUUGUUUUUUUAUAAUUAAAAUAGAAGUUAAUGGUUCGUAAUAGUUUCUAUACUUAUAAAAUGGUGACAAUACUCGAGUAUAAUUUUAACGUAAAAUAAUUAAGUAAAUAAUAACAUUAGAAUCCAACACCAAUUUAAAAGCAAUUUUUAUUGAUAUAAUUUAUUUUUAAGAAGCUUUUUAUUGAGUAAAUUAAUGAGAACAUAAAUUAUUAUCAAAUUUUUUUAGAGAAAAACUAAAUAAAAGGAGAAAAAUUAUACAAAUCUUUAUUGAAUAUAUGAAAAGUAUUAUUAUUAUAGAAUAGAAUAAACAUUAAAGCAAAGUAUUAUUAUUAUAGAAUAGACUAAACAUUAAAGAGGGUUUUUUGCUUAAAAUUUGGAUUCUAGAACAUAAAUUGUGUUUUAAAUUUACAUUAAAAAAUCAAAUUAAACAAUGGAUAUUUGUAUCUUUUUUUGCUUUUAAGAAGUAAAAGAAAAUAAUUUUUUACAGAGUAAAUUAAUUAAUUAAUUAAAAUGAAACAAAAAAUAUUAUCAUUUUUUUAGAGAAGAGAAAUAUUAUUAUCCCGAAACAUUAUUUUUUUAAAACUAAAUUAUGAUAAUUUUUUAAAAGAGAAAUAUUAUCUAAAUUAGUUUUUAGUUUGUUUUUUUUUUUUUAUGUUUACAUAUAAAAUAAAAUUAUCUAUUUUUUUCAUACAAAAAUUUUGAAAAUAAUAUAUAAAUUUUCAUGUUAAAAUUAUUUUAAUUAAAUUAUGAUAAUUUUUAAAGACAAACAUCAUCUAAACCAAUUUUUAGGUUGUCUUGAAAAAAGAUAAAUGAAUUAGUUAAAUAAAAUAUGAUAGAAUACAAACGCAUAUAAGUGAGUUGAUAAUUGCUCUCGCUCUUUUAUAUUGAUAAUAAUAUAUACUUUUUCAUGUUAAAAUUAUUUUAAUUAAAUUAUGAUAAUUUUUAAAGAUAAACAUUAACUAAACCAAUUUUUAAGUUGUUUUUAAAAAAGAGAAAUAAAUAAAUUAUAUAAAAUAAUGAUAGGAUACAAGUGCAUAUAAGUGAGUUGAUAUGGUCAUUUUAGGAAAAAAAAGGUUGACAUUUGACAAACACUUCACUCUUUUAUAUAUAAUAUAAAUUUAGAUUACUUUUUAACUCAUUUUAGUUAUUUUUUUUAUAUUAAGCUUAAAUAAUUUUAAAAUAUAUAAAUUUUUAAUAAUAUUAAUUAUACUUUAUUGUCUAUUGUAUUUUAUAAAAUAAAAUCAAAUAUAUAAAAAAAAAUUUGAACAUUUCUUUUCUUACUUCUUAGAAUGUGACAUAACCUCAUGCUUUGGGCAUUGAGCAUCACCCUCUAAAAUAAUCUAAUGGGAGAGAAGAAGGGCUUUAGGCAUGGAUGAUAAAAAAUGGGCUGAGUGCUAGAAAAAAAAAUAUAUACUAAAGAUUAGAUAGAGAAGAAUUGGGAUAGGCUGACCUUCUAGAUGUGUACAACAACCACUGGGCUAAGGUUUGGUGAGGGGUGGGUGGGGGUCAGGGUUAAGUAACCCAACAUGAAAUUGCUUUAACCUGCUUAAACUUUGUGGUGAUAAGAUAGGGUAAGAUCAGAUGAUGAGGUUAGUACAAUUUCCAAUCGUCACUCUCUAAUAAUGAUGUUGCUUAUACAAACAAACACAAUUCAUGGUGGGUUUCACUUUCACCCUCUCAAACACAUCACUUGCUUCACCCCCUCCAUGUCUUGCAACUUCAAUCAUUUAAGGCAUGCAAGUCCCAACACUAAUCCCACUGCUUUUCUUUUCUUGUCUACCCUCCUCUUACUCUCUGGCCCAAAGUGUUCUGAGCCACAUUUGGGUUUGAAAAAGAAUAAUUAAAAAAAAAAAACAAAAGGAAAAAAAAAAAAAAAACAAGGGACUUACCGGUAGAAAGAGUCACAUUUGUGGUAACAGUAGCUAUUUUCAAAAAAUAUUUUUUUGUUUUUUGAAAUAUUUCUAAAUUAAAAAAAGCAAAAAAGAAAAGAAAAAUCCCCCUCACUUUUUAUUUCUCAAAGUUCAUGUGGUAAAGAUUUGAGUGGGACACCUGCCUCAUCGCUUGCUUUGUUUUUUGGCGCCUCAAAGGAAAGGUGGGGAGUGGGGUUGAGUAAUGUAACUGUGGAACAUGUCUUUUCACCAGAGAGGACCAAAUUUGUCGCUUCUACUGGCAUUGUGAAAUCAAACUCUAUUUUAAUCUGAUUCCCAAAUAGAAAAAAAUAAUGUUCCUUUCCUCUGCUUUGCAUGCUUCUCACUUCUCGCUCUAAAGAAUAGCCAGACAAAAUAAUAAAUUACCCUUACCCUCCUCCACGCAACAUGACAGUACGGUAAUUUGGUAAUGGUAAAUUUUGAUUUUCAACCAUAUUAUAUAAUUUUAUAUCAAAGUUUAAAUAUUGCACAUGUGUAACGUGGAGAAAAAUCAACCCAUUUAUUUCAAAGAAUGAAACUAUUUCUACGUAACGAAAUUCAAUAAUUUAAGAUUUUUUUGUAAAAAGAACAAAACUUCGGUCCACCCGUCCUGAGAACGAGAGUGAUUGGUUGUGGGUUGUUGUUUUGUCAUUUACAUCUUUGCCUGAAGAGAAGAAAACAAAUGAUUUUAUUUUUAUUUACAAUAAAAAAAAGGGGGGCAAAGGAGAAGGCAAAGGAAAGGGUUCACGCGGACGAAGGUGUGUGGAUGUUGGUGAGCCACCCCGUCGCCAGCUGGCCUGUCGGAGCUCCCCCUCCUCUUCUCUUCGCGCAAAGCACGUGACUCACACCUCACCUCUCACUUCUCCCUUUCUCUACCUCUAAAAGCCCAUCGCUUUCUCCCUUCAAAAACAUUUCACCCUCAGAACCCCCACCAAAAAAAAGAAAAAAGGAAAAAAAGAAAAAAAGAAAACAAGAAAAAAAUAAAUCCCCCCAAUCUUUCUCUCUCUAAAAUCAAAUACCACUUCUCUAUGUAGAAACUGUUCUCUGGAGAUGUUGGAGGAGAGUUGAGAUUCAAAUGUUAUUGCUCGGUAGCGGAGGAGGACUGGUGGGCGAUUCAGGUGUUCGGAUCUGCUGGUGGUAAGCCUUCUUGUUGUUUUCCUUUUGUGUUGAUCCGCGUUUGGCUCUCGAGAAAAACGAGGAAGAUGAGUGGAGAUGGACAGUUUUCAUUGUUUUACUUUUUCGUUGCGGAGAGAUU
rnacentral:lncRNA from 1 species